AGAUCGAGAGAGAUGAGAUACUGAGAGAGAGAUAUAGAGAGAUCAGAGAGAGUGAGAUUGAGAGAUUGAGAGAGAUGAGACUUGGGAGAGAGAAAGGAGAGACCCGAGAGCCAGAGGGAGCCGGAGGUGGAACCGGAGUGCCCGUAGCCCAGGGGAGGUCCGAUCCUCGAUGAUCAGCGGCCAGAGCCGAAAUCCGACGGUCCAAUGGCGAUUUCCGGCGAGCCCGCAACCCGAAGAGACCCGGUAACCCGAUGUAGCCGUGAGACUCGUGACCCGACGAACCGGUGAAGCCCGAGACCCGUGAAACCCAACCCUCCAGGAACGGUUUUCCGGCGAGGCUAAGCCGAUUUUCGGCAGAAUCAGAGAUGAUUUCCGGUGGAUUUUCUGAGAAAAUCCCCAAGAUGAUGAACUGUGACUGCACAAAAGGGCUGUUCUGAAGAUUAUGGAUUAGAUUAACUGCUAGCUUAAGAGAUUUAAAUAUAUGUAGUUAAGAUGUUAAUGCUUUGCACUUGUAAAUGUUUAUACUAUUUUGUAUGUAACAUGUUUAGGAAUUUACUUGUAUUUAGUGAGUUUUUAUGUAUGCUUUGGUGUCAUAUGUGACACAUGUUUCUUUGUAAUUAGUGUAAAGAACUUUUAAUGUAUUUUUUGAGGAAUUUCAGUCAUAGCUCUGAAUGUAUUGUAAGGGAAUUGGCCCUGACGUUUG